rnacentral:rRNA from 1 species
UGGACGCAAGUCUGAUGGAGCAACGCCGCGUGAGUGAAGAAGGCUUUCGGGUCGUAAAACUCUGUUGUUGGAGAAGAAUGGUCGGCAGAGUAACUGUUGUCGGCGUGACGGUAUCCAACCAGAAAGCCACGGCUAACUACGUGCCAGCAGCCGCGGUAAUACGUAGGUGGCAAGCGUUAUCCGGAUUUAUUGGGCGUAAAGCGAGCGCAGGCGGUUUUUUAAGUCUGAUGUGAAAGCCCUCGGCUUAACCGAGGAAGCGCAUCGGAAACUGGGAAACUUGAGUGCAGAAGAGGACAGUGGAACUCCAUGUGUAGCGGUGAAAUGCGUAGAUAUAUGGAAGAACACCAGUGGCGAAGGCGGCUGUCUGGUCUGUAACUGACGCUGAGGCUCGAAAGCAUGGGUAGCGAACAGGAUUAGAUACCCUGGUAGUCCAUGCCGUAAACGAUGAAUGCUAGGUGUUGGAGGGUUUCCGCCCUUCAGUGCCGCAGCUAACGCAUUAAGCAUUCCGCCUGG